AUAGCUCAAAAGACAAUCGCUUGUUUUCAAGAGGAAAGUCCGGGCAACAUAGGAUAAGGUAGUCGCUAACGGCGACCGCGCGUAAGCGUAGGGAAAGUACCACAGAGACUAUACAACCUUCGGGUUAAAGGUGAAAAGAGUAAGGUAAGAGCUUACAGCGUCUUAUGGCGACAUAGGACGGAGGCAAACCCUACCUGUUGCAAGGAGUGCUAGACACGCCUAUCCGGCGAUGCACGCUCACCGCUAAAGCCGUUCGGCAACGAACGGAUUAGAUAGAUGAUUGUCGGUUUAUCUCCCGAGAUAAAUUACAGAACCCGGCUUAUUGAGAGCUAAAAUU
rnacentral:RNase_P_RNA from 1 species